rnacentral:rRNA from 1 species
GCAUGCCUUACACAUGCAAGUCGAACGGCAGCACGGGGGCAACCCUGGUGGCGAGUGGCGAACGGGUGAGUAAUACAUCGGAACGUGUCCUGUAGUGGGGGAUAGCCCGGCGAAAGCCGGAUUAAUACCGCAUACGAUCUACGGAAGAAAGCGGGGGAUCCUUCGGGACCUCGCGCUAUAGGGGCGGCCGAUGGCAGAUUAGCUAGUUGGUGGGGUAAAGGCCUACCAAGGCGACGAUCUGUAGCUGGUCUGAGAGGACGACCAGCCACACUGGGACUGAGACACGGCCCAGACUCCUACGGGAGGCAGCAGUGGGGAAUUUUGGACAAUGGGGGAAACCCUGAUCCAGCAAUGCCGCGUGUGUGAAGAAGGCCUUCGGGUUGUAAAGCACUUUUGUCCGGAAAGAAAACUUCUGCCCUAAUACGGUGGGAGGAUGACGGUACCGGAAGAAUAAGCACCGGCUAACUACGUGCCAGCAGCCGCGGUAAUAC